rnacentral:rRNA from 1 species
AUUGAACGCUGGCGGAAUGCUUUACACAUGCAAGUCGAACGGCAGCACGGGGGCAACCCUGGUGGCGAGUGGCGAACGGGUGAGUAAUACAUCGGAACGUGCCCGGUCGUGGGGGAUAACGUAGCGAAAGUUACGCUAAUACCGCAUACGAUCUGAGGAUGAAAGCGGGGGAUCUUCGGGCCUCGCGCGAUCGGAGCGGCCGAUGUCCGAUUAGGUAGUUGGUGGGGUAAAGGGCUACCAAGCCGACGAUCUGUAGCUGGUCUGAGAGGACGACCAGCCACACUGGGACUGAGACACGGCCCAGACUCCUACGGGAGGCAGCAGUGGGGAAUUUUGGACAAUGGGCGCAAGCCUGAUCCAGCCAUUCCGCGUGCAGGACGAAGGCCUUCGGGUUGUAAACUGCUUUUGUAUGGAACGAAAAGGCUCUGGCUAAUACCUGGGGCUCAUGACGGUACCGUAAGAAUAAGCACCGGCUAACUACGUG